rnacentral:rRNA from 1 species
UACGGAGGGUGCAAGCGUUACUCGGAAUUACUGGGCGUAAAGCGCACGCAGGCGGUUUGUUAAGUCAGAUGUGAAAUCCCUGCGCUCAACCUGGGAAUUGCAUUUGAAACUGGCAAGCUAGAGUGUUGUAGAGGGGGGUAGAAUUCCAGGUGUAGCGGUGAAAUGCGUAGAGAUCUGGAGGAAUACCGGUGGCGAAGGCGGCCCCCUGGACAAAGACUGACGCUCAGGUGCGAAAGCGUGGGGAGCAAACAGG